GAAUGUGAAGUUUGAUCUGGCCGCGACAUCUGUCACCCCAUUGAUGGCUAGGGUUGAUUCAGCUGAUCUGGCUGGCUAGGCAGGUGUCCCCUUCCUCCCUCAUCACAUCACCUGUGUCCCUCCUGAAGCUGUGUGCUAGGCCAAAGAGGACAAUGUUCCCAGAGUUGAGAUGGACUGGUCUUUGGUUGAGAAUAUACAAGUAGCUGUGUUCCCCUGCUAGCUCCUCCAAACAAGCUCUCAAGAAUAUUUGCUUUAACUGACAGCCAUCUGGAGAAACAACUAGAAAAAAAAAAUAGAAAUAGUGAAAUUUCCAUUAAAACAAGUAAUAUGAUAAGAAUGUUUUCUUU
rnacentral:snRNA from 1 species